UAACUAAGUGUUUUAUGGCACUUUUUAAAUCCAUAUCCACCUUGUGUGCAAUGUCAGUCGAUCUUCUUCAUGGAGAUCGACCAAACAUCAACCUUUAUCUUUUAACUCUUUGUCUGAAAAAUAUUAUGAAUAAACAAUUCAAAAUA
rnacentral:misc_RNA from 1 species